rnacentral:rRNA from 1 species
CGCGGCCUAUCAGCUUGUUGGUGAGGUAAUGGCUCACCAAGGCUUCGACGGGUAGCCGGCCUGAGAGGGCGACCGGCCACACUGGGACCGAGAUACGGCCCAGACUCCUACGGGAGGCAGCAGUGGGGAAUAUUGCACAAUGGGCGCAAGCCUGAUGCAGCAACGCCGCGUGCGGGAUGACGGCCUUCGGGUUGUAAACCGCUUUCAGUAGGGACGAAGCUAACGUGACGGUACCUACAGAAGAAGGACCGGCUAACUACGUGCCAGCAGCCGCGGUGAUACGUAGGGUCCGAGCGUUGUCCGGAAUUAUUGGGCGUAAAGGGCUUGUAGGCGGUCCGUCGCGUCAGGAGUGAAAACUCGGGGCUUAACCCCGAGCCUGCUUUUGAUACGGGCGGACUAGAGGGAUGCAGGGGAGAACGGAAUUCCUGGUGGAGCGGUGGAAUGCGCAGAUAUCAGGAGGAACACCGGUGGCGAAGGCGGUUCUCUGGGCAUCACCUGACGCUGAGAAGCGAAAGCGUGGGGAGCAAACAGGCUUAGAUACCCUGGUAGUCCACGCCGUAAACGGUGGGCACUAGGUGUGGGGGACAUUCCACGUUCUCCGUGCCGAAGCUAACGCAUUAAGUGCCCCGCCUGGGGAGUACGG